UGGGUUGCAGUGAUUAUAAAAAUGAAAUUUCUCGUACUGAAAUGCUCUCUUUUGGGCAUGGAUCUGAUAGACUCAUUCUACACCCAUAGAAUCUGAGCAACC